GGCGUAAAAAAAGGAGCGAACAAUGAGCGGGAAAUGUUGAAUAGUGGACGGAAGAGUUUUACGCAACACAAACAUACAAAUGGCAAUACAACGAGAACGACUAUAGAAGGAAUUUAAACAGCGAUUAUGUAUUCUCAAAUAAAUGGACAUCCUACAUAUUUUUCCUUUCCUUAUAUACUGCCGCGUACUACAACCAGUGUACGAUUGAUUCGAUGAACUUUUGUUUCAAAAGCUAACAGGCUAGCAGGUUUGGGAAAAUCUGAAGCUCUAGUUCCAAUUCCAAAGCUGCAGCUGUGGAGAUCUGAUAUACAUGUAGACUUCCGUACCUAUCCAAGAUUGGUCUUUAUGUAUUCAUCAGAGAUCUUUAUAUAUUCACACACAGGAAACGAUCUUAUCAUCCUCGACAUCGAGACGUCAUCCAUCAGCGCAAGAAUUGACCUGAUGUCGACAAAGAAUAACCUCAUUGAAUACGAUUGUUGGCUGCCUUAUGCACCAGAGCUAUUAACUGGAAGUUGUAAAGGCCCCGGCUAAAGGCCAUCGCACACCUUACGACUGUUCGCGAAUUUUCUGAAAAUGUGAAUGGACCAUAACGUUUUAUUUGAGGUUAAAAUUAAUUGAAAGAAUACUAAUAUAAUUCCAUUUUGUAAGAUUGUAAGCCUUUAUUUUGGAGUAAAGGCCAAAUUAGUUUCAAAUCGUAGGCAAUCGUACGACUGCUAAGACGUCAUUACGACUAGAUAUUACAUUUGUUUUUAUUCUAAGACGGAUCAUAGCAUAGUCAUAGAUUUGAACAUAGGUAUUCGUAUGAUGAUUUCUAACAUUACACAGUAAGAUAUUCCAAGUCUCAAUAUUAGCAUCACAUUCUACUACCUUUUAUUCCAAAGUUAAGUCGCAGACCAAUCGCAAGGUGUGCGGUCGCCCUUGCACAUCGCCAUCCAUGCGGCCUUGACAGCGAAGAAUGGAACCGAUUUUCAUCAGAAGGUGAUGAUGGCGGGUCAGGUGGAUAGGAGAAUGCUGCUUGGAAAGCAUCCGCAUGUGUAUUAUUUUGGUGAGGUGAGAUCUGACGACAUCCAUUUUUAUACCAUGAGAACGAUGUGGAUGAUAUGGACAUCGAUCGAAGAAUAUACCUUUGCGAUACAUGGUUAGAUGGUUUGAAAGUUAAUCACCCGAUGCUGUACGUCUUUAAAUGCAUAAGCAAAAUGUUCGCUUUAUGCAUACGCUUAAUCGUCAAGCAAAUGCUACCAGGCAGUUAGCAAUUGCUUGAGCUUACUAGCAAAAGCAUUUGAUCGCUCAUUUUUACGAAAUCAAGCAAAAGCCUAGCAAAGGCAAUUGCUACAUUUUAUGCAUCUGACCCAAUAAAAAGUAGAAAUUGCAGUAUUUUCAGUAUAUUCCUACGUAUACACUGCCCGUGAUGUCAUAAAUACUUCUUGAAAGAGAUUUUUGGACACCAUCUUGUCUUCCAACUCCAGAAACUUUGCUCGCUCUAUUCGCUCGCUUGCAUAUUGUCUUAUUGAUAUUAACUGUAAUUCAUUACUUUAUAUCACAACAAAUCCAUUGCAAUACAGCCAUCGAAAAAAAAUAUUAUAGGUCUGUAACUGAAAGAUGGUAGUAUUAUGUACACGGUUAUAUACCUCCGUACAUAGCCCUUGGUGUGGGGUGUCUAAAUUUUCAGGUCAAUAUAUCACUAUCAUCCCCCCAAAUGCUCGGACCAGAUUUACGCCAGUCCGCCAAAGGAUGUAAACAUGACGAGAUCCAGAAUAUUUCCAAGAGGUAUAAUCUUUCGUUAGACUUCACAAAUCCCAAAAUAUCUAUCUUAACAUAUGGGUGGCACUUUUAAGUCAGAAUAUUUAAAAGGUGGAUUGAUGAUGCCAAAUCCCUUUUUUCAUUUUCUCACUAUUAUCCAAAAUGAACAUACUAGAUUGUAAUGUCUUAUGUAUUUUCUGAUAUUGGUGUAUAAUUAAAAAUUGACAAUGAUUGCUUUCUUGGACUGAUAGUUGUGUGGUUUGGUUGUGUUUACAUUUUUACAUUAUUUUACGUAGGCACUACUCAUCUUCAGUCGCCUUGCAGUUUUUACAUAAUUAUUUAUUCACAAGUUAGGAGCAGAAGUGUGGAAAAUUUUGUAGGCCCUUUACACCCCCCCCCCCCUUCUUGAAUGCAAAUUCAGAUACAAAAUAAGACUCUGUGGUGACGCAAAUAUUUUAAUUCGACCGCUUUGUUUCGGACAUAAAUUUACUGACAUUUUCCUGGAAUCUUCUCUUAUGAAUUCGUCCAAGUUGCCUACAUUUCUUGUUCCUCUUUCUUGUAAUUAUCUACUAAUACUAACUUUAAGGUCGUCAGACGUAAGUUUUACUCAGAAAAUAUGCAUAGAAUUUGGAAAGUAAAAAUAUUUCAUUGUAUGAUUUCCAUUGUUGUUUAAUUGAAUUUUUUAGUCUGCCUGGAUGAUUUACUCUGUAAAAACACUGCUUAAACAACGUGCUAUUUCUUUUACUGUGUAUCAUUAAAUGAUUUAUGUCACAACCAUAUAUAGGAAGCGAUCAAACGGGAUGGGGGGGGGGUGCUAACCUCCCCUUUGAUUUUCAAAUUUUGUUCAGCAUUCCAUGGGAGAGGGUCAUCUUGCGCCCCCUCCCCCCCCCCCCCCCCCUCAUUAAAUCGCUGCCUCUGGUUGCACAUCCUUUUGGCUCAUUGUCUUUAUUCUCGUAACGGUUCCAUAGAAAGCUUGUCCCUCGAUCUUUCCUUCUUCCUGCCCCCCUCUUCCGUUCUCUCUCUCUCUCUCUCUCUCUCCCUCUCUCGCCUCUCCCUUUCUUUUCUAUCCCCCUCUUUCUGCACAUCUUCUUUGCACAUGAGCAAAGAAGGGACUUGCACACUUGGUUCUGCGACCAUAUGAUUACAGUAUAUACUUUGCAAACGAUAUUAAUUCUCGCAAAUGGUUCACUGACUAAUUUUGAAAGCCCCUUUAUGUAUAUCCUGUCUGAAAUGCCUUUGAGAAAAGAGUGAACACAGUGAAAUGCAUCUUCACAUUAAUUAACCCGAUUUAACAAUCACUUGGCUUGAGCAAAAGAAUAGAACAAACUUUCAAGUAUGCUAAGAUCCGAAACAUCUUCUGAUAGAUGUUAGAAACAUUUACUCAAAUUUGUCUAAUGUACAAGUAUAACAUUUUAGCACAGCCAAAGUAAUGUAAUAUUUGUUCUUGCAGCAGCUUUGUAAAUUCCAUAGAUUCUUUAUGUAUUACAUUUUUUAAUGUGCAAAAAAUAUAGAGCACAUUGUUGAAAAAAACUAUUCAAAUAUAUUUAGAAUAUAUCAAAAUAAACAUGUAUACAAUGAAAUUACUUUCAUUUUGUGAAGUUCAUUCUUCUAAAAUAUCAAUUGAAAAGUUGAAGAAAAUAUUUUCAAAUGUCGAAAUGCCAUUCUUGAAAUUAAUCUAUAAGCUGAAAAUGUCGUGAAUUUGCAUUUCACCAAUUUUACUCUAUCAAAUUGAUACCCAUAAAAUUACCAUUUGAAAAUAUCUGCCAGCAUGAAUAUUAAUUAGGCUUAUACAGUGCAGAAGGUUAUCUAAAUAGUGAGGGUCAUUAUCCCCUACUUUCUAUGGAUACAAAUUUUCAGUGACAAGUCAUACAGUUAAUGCCUAAAUCAAAAUUUCAUAUGGGCCUUUAUUCAUAAAUCUUGGGGAAAAUGAAAUUGCACCUGGAAAAAAUACAUGUAUCUUUAAAAAACCUGGAAGAGUACAAUCAGACAUAGGCCUUCUAAUUUUAGUUUACCUUCUGCAUAUUGUACAACGUUAAACCUGGCCGGUAUUCUGAAAAUCACAUUAUCUUUGCAUCACCUUUUCUAUAUUAAAUGCCAUAACUAAUUUUAAAUGGUAAUUAUGGCUGUUUUAUAUCUUUCUUUGGCAUACUUAUAUCGCCUUUAAUCAAUAUGAAAAAGGGGAGUACAUUGUGGUUAUAUUAUUUUAAGGAAAAGGUACUGAAAUUUUAUAAGUAAUGACCAACUCGCAAGGAAAAAAAGACACGGCCAAUAACGCGUUCACAAAGUUAAGAGUUGUAAAGAUGACAUGAUUUUCAGAAUACAGGGUCCAGUUGCAUAAAAGAUAAUAUAAAAUAGUGAUAUGGAUCCUAAUCUAAUGAUUGGCUGAAAUCAAUCACAUGACCAGUAAAUUUGCUAAUGACUGGUGCUCCCAAUGAUAAUAGUCUUUAAUAUAGCGCAUAUCACAAAAUAUUACUAUUCUUUCUAUGCGCUGAGGAAAAAAAAAAGCUCUUUUGACCGGUCAUGGUGUUGGAAUGAUGGAUUAUCAAAUAAGGAUCCGUAUCGCUAUCUUAUAAAAAAAGACACAUUUCUCGGGCAUUAGAAUAAUUACACAUACUUGUUUUCCUUUGAAAUGGUCUAAAUGCCCUCGGCUAUGCCUUGGGCGUGUUAGAUCCUUUCUCAAGUUACCCUGUGCGUGUAAUUAUUUCUAAUGCCCUCCAUGUGUAUUAUUUAUUAAGGUAAUUUUUUGAGGGGGUAGGGAUGCCAUAUCCCCAAGGGCCCUAAUGCAUGAAA